ACCAGAGAGAGUCACUGCAGUUCAGACAGAACAGUUCUGGCCUACUAGCUCAGCAGAGAAGAAAACAGUCAACAGGCAGAAGAGAAAAACGUUUUCAAAAACUGAGCCAAGGAAGUAGUCUCACAGAUAAACACUGAAAUCUUGACUGAUGUUUAAAGCUGGAAGUUCACUGGUACAAUGCUGAGGUGACUGAGUGGAGUCUUCGACAUCUCAUUAUCUCGACAUAAUGUUUCAUUGCUCUGAUGCAUAUUCUAUAAUUAAAAUGUUAAGAUAACUCUUCAUUAUGUGAGAUGCUACUGGUAUAUUUAAACACCAUAGAGUCACAAAACCUGCUCAUAAAAUAAUCUAAACAUAUGUCAAGCACUCUCAAAAUCUGUACAGAAUGAUCUGAUGGUAGCUGGUGUCAUUGCAUAUUCAAGUUUUGGACACAUAAUGCCAUAAAGCAGACUGACUGUGUGUCAUCAAGAGGAGAGGCUGACUUUAAGUAACACUACAGGAGAAGAGAAACAUAAGUGAACCAAAUGAGUCAUUUUUAGAAAAGAAAACCGAACAUUUCCUGGUAUACUCAACUCUGUCUUAAGAACCUUGUAAUGAAAUAGUCUCCUUUUUACAAUGGUAAAUUAGGAUUUAUAGUUGAUAAUUAUAAUUUAUGAUCCAUAACGUCAAAUAGUAAAUAAAUGAGAAUGUUUCUGGAUUCUUAAUCUUUUUAGCCAUUAGAUUUGGGAGUUUCUGUAAUGCAUAAUAUUGAUUGAUGUUGUUUGUCUAUGUGAUGAUUAAAUCCUGAAAUCAAUUUGGAGUUACCGUGUUGCAAAUUGGUUUUGUAAAUAGAACAAAGAAGGAUUUCAGAAUGACUUUCUUCUAUUUUCUGUUGUGCUUGUCUAAUAAUCAGAAUAAAGAGGAUUUUAGAAGAUGAGGCUACUUGAAAGUGGAUCAUUGGAAUAAAAUGGAGGCGCCAUUAUUUUAAAAUGAGGAUCAUCAGACAAUUUAGCAGUCAGCACACUGUAAAGAAAACAAGAGGUAUUAAAGCAAAACAAAUAAAAGGGCAGGCACUUUCCAGAGAAGCAAUUUUCUGUUUGUUCUCUUAUACACACUUUCCUGUGGCAAAUUACAAACUGGCAUCUGAUACUGAGAUCUCUCUUGCAGAACAAAGGAAUUUUUUUCUUUUCCCCACCAGCUGACUGGAGAUCUUCCAGGAAGCAGAAGAGGGAGCAGAAAGCAGAGCAAAGUUGUAUAUUGAUGGUAUAAGUUGCCAGAUGAAGAAAUAUUCAGUCUGGAACUGCAGAAAGACCCGGUAUUUGCUCACCAAUACCUUAUGGCUGAAUACAUGAAUAAUGAGUGCAACAGUGCUGGCAGUAAAUCAAAUGGAAACUGGGACUAAGAAGAAAAAAGAAUUACAAAAAACAAAGUAAAAAUGAGUUUUUGACAUCCUCAAGCACUGCAAAAGGAAGCAUGAAUGCAGAGCAUUGCUCUGAGCACCACAGAGCACCCCCGCAAGCUCCUGUGCCACACCAAUCAAAUCAUGCUCAUCAUUAUGUUGGAGACUUGUACUUUUUCAUUUAUUUUUGUCAGCAGAAAAUAUUAGAAAGAGACACUUGCCAGACAGGAGUUGCUCUGUAGAAAUGUCAGAAAAUACAGGAAACAAACAUCUUGGAACCCAAACCAUGCAUGCAGAAAUCAGUGGCCUCAUGCUUUUUAUUCAGGCUGUCUCCAUUUCAUCUGUAACAUACAGUUUGAUAGCUCUCAUUUUCACUUUCAGGCUCUCCUGUCCCAUCUUAAUAAUGAAAACAGGUACUUUUUAAUCCACAUAAAUGGCAUUUAAAAUAUUUAUAUUGCUUUUUUAAAGAAAAAGAAACUAAAGUUUGGUCAAAACUAUCAUAUUGUUGUAAUUUAACUUUGAGCUUUGAC
rnacentral:lncRNA from 1 species